rnacentral:lncRNA from 1 species
CAUGUUAGCCAGGAUGGUCUUGAUUUUCUGACCUUGUAAUCCGGCUGCCUCAGCCUCCCAAAGUGCUGGGAUUACAAGCGUGAGCCACUGCGCCCGGCCUAGUUGAGGAGUAAAUGGACUGGAUUAAAGUUAAACCAUAACCCCAAAUUCAGGUUCUUACUAAACCUCUUCAAAGAAAUGGCAGCAUGAUGAGCUUUGAAAAUGUGAAAGAAAAGAGCAGAGAAGGAGGGCCCCAUGCACACACACCCGAAGAAGAAUUGUGUUUCGUGGUAACACACUACCCUCAGGUUCAGACCACACUCAACCUGUUUUUCCAUAUAUUCAAGGUUCUUACUCAACCACUUUCCCUUCUGUGGGGUUGUGAUCAGAAGCCUCGUACUGUUCCUACCCUUGGAAACGGCGCAUGGGAUACCUGCCAACAACACAUACGCACUUCAUCAUGGACAGCAAACACACUCGUCAUUCAAAACCAGCAUUCACGGGAAAGCACUGUUUCUGUUUGCCUUUUUAUGUUAAUCCGCAUGCAACAUAUUUUGAAAACAGAUACACUUCAACAGUUCAGAAUAUGCUAGUACUAAUAAAACCAACAUGUUACAUGCUGAA